UCAGGGAAACCUUCCAUCUCAUGUCACCUGGCCGCCAUGUGACAGGCCGCGGGAAUUCGAUUAGAGUUUGAUCCUGGCUCCAUUAUAUGAACGCUGGCGGCAUGCCUUACACAUGCAAGUCGAACGGUAACAGGUUAAGCUGACGAGUGGCGAACGGGUGAGUAAUGUAUCGGAACGUGCCCAGUCGUGGGGGAUAACUGCUCGAAAGAGCAGCUAAUACCGCAUACGACCUGAGGGUGAAAGCGGGGGAUCGCAAGACCUCGCGCGAUUGGAGCGGCCGAUAUCAGAUUAGGUAGUUGGUGAGGUAAAGGCUCACCAAGCCGACGAUCUGUAGCUGGUCUGAGAGGACGACCAGCCACACUGGGACUGAGACACGGCCCAGACUCCUACGGGAGGCAGCAGUGGGGAAUUUUGGACAAUGGGCGCAAGCCUGAUCCAGCCAUGCCGCGUGCGGGAAGAAGGCCUUCGGGUUGUAAACCGCUUUUGUCAGGGAAGAAAAGGUUCUGGCUAAUACCUGGGACUCAUGACGGUACCUGAAGAAUAAGCACCGGCUAACUACGUGCCAGCAGCCGCGGUAAUACGUAGGGUGCAAGCGUUAAUCGGAAUUACUGGGCGUAAAGCGUGCGCAGGCGGGUUAUGCAAGACAGAGGUGAAAUCCCCGGGCUCAACCUGGGAACUGCCUUUGUGACUGCAUGGCUAGAGUACGGUAGAGGGGGAUGGAAUUCCGCGUGUAGCAGUGAAAUGCGUAGAUAUGCGGAGGACACCGAUGGCGAGGCAAUCCCCUGGACCUGUACUGACCGCUCAUGCACGAAGCGUGGGGAGCCAAACAUGAUUAGAAUACCCUUGUUAGUCCCCGCCUAAACGAGGUUACUGGUUUGUUGGGGAGGGCUUUCUUCCUAGUAACCGUACCUAACGCGUGGAAGUUGAACCGCCUGGGGCAUAUGCGCUAAGCUGAACUCCAAAGAAUUGAUCGUGACCCGACCAGCGGGGGAGGAUGUGGUUUAUUUCAUCCACCGAAGCUACUACCCUUGGACAGUACUGGAUUCCUGAAAAGAUUUGGAAUGGUUCCUAGGGAGGCGGAAACAGGGUGUAUGCUCUCCCACUUUGGUCGGAAGGUGGUUUAUCUACAGCGCUACCCUGG
rnacentral:rRNA from 1 species